AGUUCGUUUGGCUUUUGGCUCGGGCGAAGUUUUUGCAAACGCCAGUAGACAAUCUUUCCUCAUUUCGUUAACACACACAGACACGCAGCACAACAGCAAGAACUGGCUUCAAACCUUCAAGCAACAAUAACUUAAAGAUAUUUCACGUUUAUGCAAAUUAUGCGCUUUGCAAGACCAAACUACGGCAAGUCAAACUCGAAUUAAAAAUCUAAAAGCAAACCUAAAACUUUGGCCAGCUACUUAACCAACGAUGUCUUUGAUAACAAUCCGAAAAGUUACCCGAAAAAUAUAAUGAACAAACUGAAAUAAAAACGCACUAGCUGCAAACGGAAAACUGUGCGAAGUGCUAUCAAAUAAAUUUUUCAGCUGACACACAAGAGCUGUGGCACCAAAAAGUCAGCAAAAAAAAAAAAAAAAAAAAAAAAAAAUGUGCAUUAAAAAUUGCGCCAACAUACACUACGGGGGCAGCAGCAACAACAGCAACGACAACAACAACAACAGUAGCGAGGAUAAAGUGCCAGAGGAGAACUUCAUUCAGUUGGAUUUUGAAUUGCGAUUGCCACGCAGAGGCACCAAAGGUCCUAAAAUAUCGAGCUUUAAAAUUUUCAUGUGCUGUUGCUAUUUUAUCAUUAUUGUCUUGAUGAUCUAAGAACACACAAAA